UGCCGGAUAGGCAACUGGUAGGCAUCUACCGGUUGGGAAAGGUGCAACUGCACCGCAGAUGGAGGAGCCCGCGGCGCAUUAGCUAGUUGGUGGGGUAACGGCCUACCAAGGCGACGAUGCGUAGCCGACCUGAGAGGGUGGACGGCCACACUGGGACUGGGACACGGCCCAGACUCCUACGGGAGGCAGCAGUAGGGAAUCUUCCGCAAUGGGCGCAAGCCUGACGGAGCAACGCCGCGUGAGCGAAGAAGGCCUUCGGGUUGUAAAGCUCAGUCACUCGGGAAGAGCGGACGAGGGAGUGGAAAGCCCUCGUCGAGACGGUACCGAGAGAGGAAGCCCCGGCUAACUACGUG
rnacentral:rRNA from 1 species